rnacentral:rRNA from 1 species
AGAGUUUGAUCCUGGCUCAGAACGUACGCUGGCGGCACGCCUUAUACAUGCAAGUCGAACGAAGUAGCAAUACUUAGUGGCAGACGGGUGAGUAACAUGUGGGUAUCUUCCCUUUGGUGAGGAAUAACACGAGGAAACUUGUGCUAAUACCGGAUAAGCCUUCACAGGGAAAGUUUUAACGCCAAAAGAUGAGCCUGCACUUGAUUAGCUAGUUGGUAAGGUAAUGGCUUACCAAGGCUACGAUCAAUAGCUGUUCUUAGAGGAAGAUCAGCCACAUUGGGACUGAGACACGGCCCAAACUCCUACGGGAGGCAGCAGUGGGGAAUAUUGCACAAUGGGGGAAACCCUGAUGCAGCGAUGCCGCGUGAGUGAAGAAGGCCUUUGGGUUGUAAAGCUCUUUCGUCGGGGAAGAAAAUGACUGUACCCGAAUAAGAAGGUCCGGCUAACUUCGUGCCAGCAGCCGCGGUAAUACGAAGGGACCUAGCGUAGUUCGGAAUUACUGGGCUUAAAGAGCUCGUAGGUGGUUAGAAAAGUUGGUGGUGAAAUCCCAAGGCUUAACCUUGGAACUGCCAUCAAAACUUUUUAGCUAGAGUAUGAUAGAGGAAAGCAGAAUUUCUAGUGUAGAGGUGAAAUUCGUAGAUAUUAGAAAGAAUACCGAUUGCGAAGGCAGCUUUCUGGAUCAUUACUGACGCUGAGGAACGAAAGCAUGGGUAGCGAAGAGGAUUAGAUACCCUCGUAGUCCAUGCCGUAAACGAUGUGUGUUAGACGUUGGAAAUUUAUUUUCAGUGUCGCAGCGAAAGCAAUAAACACACCGCCUGGGGAGUACGACCGCAAGGUUAAAACUCAAAUGAAUUGACGGGGACCCGCACAAGUAGUGGAGCAUGUGGUUUAAUUCGAAGAUACGCGCAGAACCUUACCAACACUUGACAUGUUCGUCGCGACUUUAAGAGAUUAAAGUUUUCGGUUCGGCCGGACGAAACACAGGUGCUGCAUGGCUGUCGUCAGCUCGUGUCGUGAGAUGUUGGGUUAAGUCCCGCAACGAGCGCAACCCUCACUUUUAGUUGCCAUCAUUUAGUUGGGCACUCUGAAAGAACUGCCAGUGAUAAGCUGGAGGAAGGUGGGGAUGACGUCAAGUCCUCAUGGCCCUUAUGUGUUGGGCUACACACGUGCUACAAUGGUAUCUACAACAGGAAGCAAGAUGGCAACAUUUAGCAAAUCCUAAAAAGAUAUCUCAGUUCGGAUUGCACUCUGCAACUCGAGUGCAUGAAGCUGGAAUUACUAGUAAUCGUGGAUCAGCGUGCCACGGUGAAUACGUUCCCGGGUCUUGUACACACCGCCCGUCACACCAUGGGAGUUGGUUCUACCUUAAGGCAAAGUUUAAAACCUUUGACCACGGUAUAGUCAGCGACUGGGGUGAAGUCGUAACAAGGUAACC